CCUUUUUCCACCCUGUAGAAUUGUAAGUUUUCAUCUCCCCUUCCAUAAAACCUAAAAUAAAAACCCUCCUAAAUUCCUAAUUUUUCAGUCAUCGCGUGUAAUUAGCCCCAAAAUAAGAAAAAGCGGUAAGCAUGAAAAAAUCCAAAGUAAAAUCCCUAAUAAAGAUUCGAUUUUAUGGGCAAAUCCCCUCCUAUCAACACAGUCAAGCUACAAUAUCUCGUGAGAACCACUAAAGCCCCAAAACCUGCGUACCAAUUUGUUAAGGAGAAGUCGAAGAACAUGGAGAGCAGCAGCCGCGCUGACAGAGAUGAGAGAAGUAGUUGCAACGGUAGCGUCAGCAACGCGACACGCUUGCUGCUGUCGGAGGUUGUGUCGGAUUGCGUAAAGCGGUGGUUCAAAGACACGCUUAAAGAAGCCAAAGCAGGGGAUAUAAACAUGCAGGUCUUGGUGGGUCAGAUGUAUUACAGUGGUUAUGGCGUUCCCAGAGACGUCCAAAUGGGAAGAAUUUGGAUGACAAGAGCAUCAAGGACUAGAUCCUCAGUUUGGAAAGUCAGUGAUAAGCGUCCAGGUUAUAAUGCUAGUGACUCAGAUUCAGAUGAGUUGAAGGGUGAUUCUUAGCGAGUUAAGAUAUUAAUUAAUGUUCACACACUGAAAGCUUGAAAUGGUUGUGUUUGUUGUACACAAACAAUUGAAAGGGCAUUGCAAAGUAGAGGGUUCUGUAAGUUCAGUGGUGAGGUAGUAAAUCACUUGCUUCCUCUGUGCCGUGAGGAAAUGACCGUGUGUGUGUCAUGUUUGAAACUUUUGGAGUGUGCUUAGUGAUGUCUUGUUCUGCAGUGGACAUGCUGCUGUUGUUUAAGAUGAAGUUUGAAAGGUUCCUGCUUGGUGCUGUUUUUCCUCCUCCGCCACUUCGAGGUUUGAAUGUCCAUGGAACAAUUUUCAUUCUUUUUAGUAUUUUGAAUAUCCUUUCUGUCUGGUUCUUUUUUCUCAUACUAGCUCCUCCUUUGUAAUCUUUACUGUUUACUUCCUUUUAACUGAAAUCUUUUUUUUGUUAAUAAAUACAAAACAAUUGUAAUUUGUCAAAAUUUCUCUGGGUGCCUAGAAUGUUUAUGGAAG